CGCUCGAAGUAGCCGGUCAUAGCUCAAAAGGAGCUCCGCGAAGUGAAAUAAAUUCGUUUUCAAAAUAUCCAAAGCUAUUCCCAGUGGUAACAAAAAUAAUUACAAACUGAAAAGUGGAAAUUUAUCUAAAUAAACUGAAACCAGCUAUCCAGUGAGCGUUUGUUCGAUUGUGGCCUGCUGUUGGAAGCGAGCCGCUGCCGCCCGUCGGACCCCUACCACUCAACGAACGAAUCCUGGUACCUUCAAAUCAGGCCUUCACAGAUCGAGACCUUUUGAAACAACGAUCCAGAGUCAUUGACGAGCAGAAAACGGAUUCGAGUGUUAACAUCGGAAGCCAACAACAAAAUACGGCAGAGCCAACGACAAAUUUGUUUAUCUACGAAAGCGGGAAACCAAUCAACGUGUUCCUACUGGGAUUGGAAGGAGCGAUAGUAAAUUCGCUAAACGAGGAA